AUCAUCAAGCGUUGCUAAGAGACAAAAUUAAAAUUAUUCAUGUGGUUUUAAAAUUCAUCGCUAAAAUACGACAUCGAUAAAACCACCAAUACAGUUGUAUGUAGAUAUGUUUUAUGGUAAAUAUCUGUAAGGAAAAUUAAGGUAAAGAGAGAGAGAGAUAGAGAAAGGGUGAGAGAGAAAGUGAGAAAAUGAAUGGUUAGCACGACUGAAGAUACAAAAUAAUAUGCUUAUGAAUUGCGAUUGAAAAAAAAUUCUAAAAAAAAAUUUUGAAAUAUUGCUGGUUUGGUGUGGGGUUCGGUCAUGUAUUUGACAUAUCGUGUACAUGAUCGAACCACGCUAGAAGCUUUCGCACAUAGUAAUUUAUAAUAUUAUUCUUUGUACUUAAUUAUGUACCUUAUCUAUUAUAUACAAUUUAAUACGUAAUACAAAGUAAUUAAUGUUUAUCUACAAAUUAUAUACAAGUAAAUAAAAUAAUAUUGUAUCUUAAAGCUGUGAAUUAUCUAAUUUCAAAUAGACAAAGAUCAAAAUUCAAAUACGUAAGUUUGAUAUUUAUAACAUUAGGAGAACCGUAUAAAAUAUUUUUUUUUUAUACGUACGUUUAUCAUCUUGAGAUUCCAACAUAUCAAUGAGAAAAGCAUCGAUCACAUCCUUUGGGGCCCCAAGUUGUAAAUUUUCUUGGUGUUCUUUUAUUAUUUCCUGUUUUCCAUUUAAUAAUAUUUAUCAUAUUUAAUAUAUAAAAUAUAAUUAUAUAUGUAAGUUUGUCAUGUAAAUUGUGAAUAAUAGUGGUGCUAGGGCAUUUUGUAAGCCGAGUAAGUAUCAUCUUCCUUUUUCGUUAACGCUGGGUAGAGGGGGUUAACGGACCGGGCUAUGUCAGUCUCCGGCGCCUCCAGAAAAAAGAGGGAGAACAGGGAGACCAAGGUUCUCCCCUUCUUCUAAUUUCUUCCAGGACCCUACCCUUUGAAAAAGGCACGCGAGGAAUGCUAUGGCGGGGCUGUAGAAGACCCGCUCCAUGGAACCGACUGCUGACUAAGCCCCAUCGAGCUCCACCAGACCGGAUAGACGAAACCUACGAUGCCGCAUAAUGUGCGCCGACAGUCCGCCUUCGUCAGUACCCAUUCCAAUGAUUGGACGGGAUUUCAUCCUUGAGAACAUCCCCAAGGAUCUCGUCUCGGGGGAUAUACUGUAGGCAGUGUAUAGGAGUCACCUUACGACGCCUCAUCACUGGAACGACAGUCAAGCACCAGGUGCCCCCGCACCCGGCACCCAACGACCUCUACGGGAACUGUGUGAAGGCUUCGCGCCUACGCCGCCCAACCUGGCGCUGAAGAAGAAACCCACUCCCUUUCGCGCUCCUCAGCAUCAUGGAGCGCCAUGACCGGGUUGGAAAAGCUGGCCUUUGCCUCCCACCAACUCCGGUCUUUUCGCAAACGGGCCAUAGCCCGUAAGAAGAUAUCCCACCCCAGCCCCGUGGGUGCUCCUAAUGCGGGCACACUUCAAGUGCGUGCUGAGCAUGAUCGUUCGGGUGCCUGCGCUGUUGGCAACCCGGAUGUGGCUCCUUCCUAUUUAAAAUGAUAGACAGAAAUAGACAGGACGACGGUGAAAACCAGUGUACAUACACCUGAAUUAAAUUAGGGGAGAAUUAUGAAGGAAAAUGGAGAAGGAAUGCUGGUAAUAGGACGUCGUAGUAUUUUGCUAGAGGAUGCGGAGGUAACAUGUCCGUGUCUUCUUCUAUCUUAAAGGGAAACAGAUUAUUAUCAUAUAGAAUCUUGCACCCUCAUUGAACUAAAUAUGAAUCUCAAUAUUGUCGAUGACGAUGACGUUAAUAGCCACCGUGAGCCCAAAAUUGUUUUUUCCAAUUUCAUGAAGGCGAAAAUUAUCGGAAUAAUUGACCAAUCAUCGCAGGACUUUAUUAGCAGAUUAUUGCAAAUACCUUGAACUAAAUAUCGUUGUUAUCAUUUUAGCGGCUAUAUACUCAUGAUUUUGUUUUGAUACACUUGAACUCUUUGCCUUGUUUUUCUAAUUAUGUAGUUCUUCAUUUUAUGAAAACGACAAUGAUAUUCGAAAGCCUAAUUUUUUUUUAAGAUAGGAUGUUCGCGGUUUAACCUUGGAGACCUUUUCCGCGAUUGGAGGCCUUGCCGCUUGACCAGGACUCAUGGUGGUCGAAACUUCGUCAAUAGUAGUGAAAAAGCACGAAACGUCUGGUCCUGUGCCACGUUGGGCCAUCGGAGAAAACCAAUCCUGUAAAUGACGAAGACGUUAUAUUAAAAACUAGUGAAUACUUAAUGGCAAAACGAAGAUAAAAAUAAGCUCGCUACUUCGAACGCUAGUUUCUCUAAUAUUUGUUAUUAAAAAUAAUAUAUAAUACAAGAAAUACAUAUAUACUUAGAUUGAUUUAGAUAGUUUUGUCUAGAUGCUGUGAAAUAGCUAAUAAAAGAAGCGAAACUUUUUUUGUAAAUUCUACAUUGUUUUUCUCUGGUUUUAUAAGUCAUCUUGUAACCUUUUACUGUCGUCUUAGACAGACCGGUCCAUGGGCCAUAUUAAAUUUAUCAGCAAUGCG